rnacentral:tRNA from 2 species
GGGUCGGUAGCUCAGUCGGUAGAGCAGCGGACUUUUAAUCCGUUGGUCGAGGGUUCGAAUCCCUCCCGACCCACCA